rfam:Dipodomys ordii contig_38699, whole genome shotgun sequence.
CACCAAUACCUUUGUUAAUAUAAAACUCCUACCACAAUUUGUGUUUGCUAUAGUAAGAAAGUCUAGCCUAAUCCAGUGUUCUCUCUUCCACAAGAUAAGCCAUUUUAUAGCCUUAAACUGU